rnacentral:rRNA from 1 species
UACGUAGGCAGCAAGCGUUGUUCGGAGUUACUGGGCGUAAAGGGUGCGUAGGUGGCUCUAUAAGUAUGGUGUGAAAUCUCCCGGCUUAACUGGGAGGGUGCGCCGUAGACUGUGGGGCUAGAGUGUGGGAGAGGAAAGUGGAAUUCCUGGUGUAGCGGUGAAAUGCGUAGAUAUCAGGAGGAACACCGGUGGUGUAAACGGCUUCUUGGACCAUAACUGACACUGAGGCACGGAAAGCGUGGGUAG